rnacentral:rRNA from 1 species
UACGUAGGGGGCAAGCGUUGUUCGGAUUUACUGGGCGUAAAGGGCGCGUAGGCGGCGUGAUAAGUUACUUGUGAAAUCUCUGAGCUUAACUCAGAACGGCCAAGUGAUACUGUCGUGCUAGAGUGCAGAAAGGGCAAUCGGAAUUCUUGGUGUAGCGGUGAAAUGCGUAGAUAUCAAGAGGAACACCUGAGGCGAAGGCGGGUUGCUAGGCUGACACUGACGCUGAGGCGCGAAAGCUAGGGGAGCAAACGGGAUUAGAUACCCCGGUAGUCCUAGCCCUAAACGAUGAAUGCUUGGUGUCUGGAGUUUAUAGCUCUGGGUGCCGUCGCUAACGUUUUAAGCAUUCCGCCUGGGGAGUACGCUCGCAAGAGUGAA